AACGAACGCUGGCGGCAGGCCUAACACAUGCAAGUCGAGCGAGAUCUUCGGGUCUAGCGGCGGAUGGGUGAGUAACGCGUGGGAAUAUGCGUCUUGGUACGGAAUAGCCUCGGGAAACUGGGAGUAAUACCGUAUGUGCCCUUUGGGGGAAAGAUUUAUCGCCAAGAGAUUAGCCCGCGUUGGAUUAGGUAGUUGGUGGGGUAAUGGCCUACCAAGCCGACGAUCCAUAGCUGGUUUGAGAGGAUGAUCAGCCACACUGGGACUGAGACACGGCCCAGACUCCUACGGGAGGCAGCAGUGGGGAAUCUUAGACAAUGGGGGCAACCCUGAUCUAGCCAUGCCGCGUGAGUGAUGAAGGCCUUAGGGUUGUAAAGCUCUUUCAGCUGGGAAGAUAAUGACGGUACCAGCAGAAGAAGCCCCGGCUAACUCCGUG
rnacentral:rRNA from 1 species